AGUUAAAUAGUACGUGAAAUUGUUGAAAGGGAAACGAUUGAAGUCAGUCAUGCUACUGAAAAUUCAGUUUGGUGGGUUUUGGGUUCAGGAGUUGAGGCAGGGUCAAACCGUUUCUCUUUUGAACUUGGAAUUUGUCAGAUGCACUUUUUCUUUGGCAGGUCAGCGUCGAUUUCGGAGGUUGUAAAAUACUUGGGGAAAAGUAGCUCUGCUUCGGGAGAGUGUUAUAGACCUUGGGUGAUGCGGCCUGCGGGAUCGAGGAUUGCAGCAAAUGCUUUUGGCUUGUCGCCUGAUCUCUGGACGUCAUCUCGCUUGUAUCAACAUUCUUGGUACCGGUGAGUAAUGGUGCUCAUAGGUUAGAGCGAUCAAAAAUUUUGCUAAGGAUGCUGACGUAAUGGCUUUAAA
rnacentral:misc_RNA from 1 species